UUACAGAGUUCUCACUGGGAUAUGAAGUUUCCAAAAUACAAGUCUGCCCAUGUAUGCCAUCAUCAUUCAGACCCACAGUACCGUCUAAUUUACCGUCAUGAACAAAGAAUAUUUCAUGAGGAGGUAAACUGAAUCUCGCUUCUCGCUGUGCAAGCUGCUGACAGUUCAGAGGAAAUCCAGAUGCAUUUGCAUGGAGUAAACUUCUGUAAACAUGUUCUGCACUCCAGCGAAGAAAUAAAUGUCAAGCUUAGGCCACAGUUUCAAGUCUGUUGGAACGGCUUUCCAGUGCCAUGUUAGAAAAUCAAUGCACCCUGUGUGUGUGUCCCAAAUAGAAUCGCUCUUGGGCCUUUCCUGCCUGGCCACAAAGAUUAUGCCUAUAUUCACACCAUCCCUUUACUUCUCCUAUUUCAUGAUCACCACUGCCACCUUAGCCUGGCUUCAGAAGAAGACAGCUCUGUGUGAAAGGUGCUGUGAAUAGCAGCUGUGUAAAAGCAGCUAUUUGCAUACCUAGGAGCGGAGCCACCCUGGGUUGCCUUGCUGGCCUGUCCCACACACCCUCUCUGCCGUGGCGGUGCCUUCUGUCCCUCCCUUGGUCCCCACGUGGAGAUGCUAUCUUCUCCCACCUGCAGCCCUGGAUCCUCCAGCACUCAGCCACUGCUCCGCAGCAGGUCCAACUGGAUCUGACAUUUGCCAGAGACUGCCCUUCAGCAGCUGGGCCCUAGAAGGUAAGCACAGUGACUGAGGAAGGCUUCUCCCAAGCGAAAUAUGACUUACUGGUAGGAACAGAGCACUUGAGGAGGAAAAUGUUGAGGUGAGAUGAGACAAUGUCUCACUUGAAAGGUAGGCAGGCCUAACGCUUACUUGGACCCUAUCCUUCUGGAUGGAAAAGCUUCUGAGGAACUUAACUUUUUUUAGCUUCAAAGCACAUAUCUUUUUUAUAACUAGGCAGCCCCUUCUGUGUCCAUGAGCUCCUCUUGCCAGCUCACCUGGUGAAGAAACUAAUGGACACUUGAAACAAUUCUCUGACUGCCCUGGUUCAUGUACUGCCUGGUACACAUCAGCACAAGAGGAUUCCCUGUUCCUAAAAUUGAACUGUCUCUUUAUUAACAGCCAGCCUCAUGUACCGGGACACUGAGCUAGCAAAUCAGAUGCACACAACUUGCCUGUCUCUGCUGCCUCCAAGCUCUGCUUCCCUGCAGCAUGUGCUCUCCCCUCUGAGUUCACCACAGGUAAUUCUGUCUAUAUGUACUUGUAGGUGGCUGGCUAACUGCUUUUAUGCUGCUUAUUGCACUGUGAAUCUGGGGAAAAAACUCUUGUCUCCUUGAUGCUUUGACAGACCAUGCCAUGAGAAAAGCACAUGUAAUAUUCAAAAGAUAAUGAAGUGUCUCCCGAGAUCUCUAUAGUCGAUUUUAAAACUGUUUACAAAUCUUGUUUUGUGUUUUAUUUAAUUAUUAGUUGGCAACAGAUCAAUUGUUCUAUAAUUUGAACUCUAAAAGUAAUCUGUAAAGUAUUCAUAAAUGCAGAUAAAUCUUUUUAAGUAGUGUGUAUAUGUACAUAAUAAAAUCAAACAUCCUACUUAAUUUUGUGUUUAGGAUUCUGCACGUUAUAUAUGAAUGCCAUUAUCUA